AUUGAACGCUGGCGGCAUGCCUUACACAUGCAAGUCGAACGGCAGCACGGGAGCAAUCCUGGUGGCGAGUGGCGAACGGGUGAGUAAUAUAUCGGAACGUGCCCAGUCGUGGGGGAUAACGCAGCGAAAGCUGUGCUAAUACCGCAUACGAUCUAAGGAUGAAAGCGGGGGAUCGCAAGACCUCGCGCGAUUGGAGCGGCCGAUAUCAGAUUAGCUAGUUGGUGGGGUAAAGGCCCACCAAGGCGACGAUCUGUAGCUGGUCUGAGAGGACGAACAGCCACGCUGGAACUGGGACACGGUCCAGACUCCUGCGGGAGGCAGCAGUGGGGAAUUUUGGACAAUGGGCGCAAGCCUGAUCCAGCAAUGCCGCGUGCAGGAUGAAGGCCUUCGGGUUGUAAACUGCUUUUGUACGGAACGAAACGGCCCUUUCUAAUACAGGGGGCUAAUGACGGUACCGUAAGAAUAAGCACCGGCUAACUACGUGCCAGCCGCCGCCGUAA
rnacentral:rRNA from 1 species